AAAAGCGUUUACUUUUUAAAUUAAUUUGACCUCUCACCUUAAUGUUUGACAACACGGCACCAAAGCGUUCGAUACAUAGCCGGCUAUUUCUAACGAAAAAGUCAUGAUCCUACAGCAUUAAAAUAUGUUUCCCCACAAUUUGUGGUUUGAAAACUAGACUCUAAUUGUGAUCUCAUUUAAAUGGGAAAAAAGGAUGCAAAUGUCAGCCACUGUCUACCAGUAGAUCAGUAUCGCAAGCAGAUUGGAAAGCAAGAUUGGAAGAAAUCUAAAAAAGAAAUUAAAAAGAUGAAAUCCAGAGCAGAUAAUACCACAGUGUUAUCUCCCCAGGCUAUUGUUUUCUGGAUGGGACUCGUCAUUUUAUCUUGUUCCGCUGGUUACUUUCUGCUCUGCUGGUAUACAGGAACUGUCGCAUUAGAAAACAUUGUUGAUAAACCUCCUGUGUGAAGGAUCCACAUUUAACCAACCAAACAUAUAUCUGAAAAUUUGUUUUUGUUUCCAUAUGUAAACAGUUUUAAUUAUUCUGCAAAAAUGUCUCCAAACUUUUUUUUUUCAUAUCUAUAAAUUUAGAGUUUCUUACAACUUUAAAGGAAAUUAACAAAUUUAUUAAUAGGCAUUACCUUUUUUUUUUAUGCAAACACUUGGUUCUAUUUUUUGUUUUCACGUUUAGUCUUCAUUUAAUAGUCUGCCUGAAGGAUAAAUACAAUGUGCCAAAAUGAAAAUUCAUUGAAGAAAACUUUUCAGUUUUUCUUAAGAAGUUUAUUUUUUGUAAUACGUUUCAUAAACCUGAAUUAUUUUUGUUUAAUUGUCCUUAAAAUAUUUUCCCCGUCAAUUUACAUUUACAAGUUCAUAUAUCUAUGCUCAGUCAUUUUUAUUGUUAUUAUUCUAUCACUAUGCAAAGUACACCUAUAUUAUUAACAUAUUUAAUGAAUUUUUUUUUUUUUACAAGAUACAAUGAUUUUAAGAAUCUUUUUCUUUUGCCCAAACUUUUCAAAUAUGUUACUGUUAUUGGUAUAGAGCAAUUAUGUGUUUUCUGCAUGCUAUUGUUACACAGUGCUUUGUAUUAUGCUAGAGAACUUCAUUAAUGGCACAAUUUCUGCAGCUCCUCUGAUGUACUUAAGAGAGUUGACUGAAAAUCUUGUCAAUUUAUUUUCAAAGAUUUUCUUUUGGACUGAAAUACAAAUGUGAAUGUUACAUUAUAUUGUAGUACCAGGUACCAUUUUUCAAUGCACACAGUUUAGCCAAUAUUGAUACCAAGAUUAUAUAAAAUUAAAUUAAUUAUUUUUUUUUAGCUGUAGUAAUUAUUAAUAGAACUUCAUAUUACUGGCUAUGUCUCAUAAAAUAACUUUUUUUUCCCCACGAACUUCUAUGCUGUUCAUGACACUAUACUUUAACUCAAUUAUAUUGGUCUUGGCCCAAAUGACUUUUUAAAAGGGUCCAAAUAGUUCUUACAUGUAACUGUUAUCACUCCAAAUACUUAAUUCUGUUUGUACAAUCUGAGGUAUGAGUGACCUACUUGACCUCAAGAUUGAUUUGAUCAAGUAGUAGAAGUCUUGUUACAUCAUAUAUUUUUUUAAAGUAUCACCAUUGAAACAUACAGAUUGAAUUUUUUAAAAUAAAAUUGAACGAGCAAAGCCUUAA